rnacentral:rRNA from 1 species
AGGCGACGACGGGUAGCCGACCUGAGAGGGUGACCGGCCACACUGGGACUGAGACACGGCCCAGACUCCUACGGGAGGCAGCAGUGGGGAAUAUUGCACAAUGGGCGAAAGCCUGAUGCAGCGACGCCGCGUGAGGGAUGACGGCCUUCGGGUUGUAAACCUCUUUCAGCAGGGACGAAGCGCAAGUGACGGUACCUGCAGAAGAAGCACCGGCUAACUACGUGCCAGCAGCCGCGGUAAUACGUAGGGUGCAAGCGUUGUCCGGAAUUACUGGGCGUAAAGAGUUCGUAGGCGGUUUGUCGCGUCGUUUGUGAAAACCAGCAGCUCAACUGCUGGCUUGCAGGCGAUACGGGCAGACUUGAGUACUGCAGGGGAGACUGGAAUUCCUGGUGUAGCGGUGAAAUGCGCAGAUAUCAGGAGGAACACCGGUGGCGAAGGCGGGUCUCUGGGCAGUAACUGACGCUGAGGAACGAAAGCGUGGGUAGCGAACAGGAUUAGAUACCCUGGUAGU